AGAACGAACGCUGGCGGCAGGCCUCAAACAUGCAAGUCUAGGGGGUGUAGCAAUACAUCACCGGCGGACGGGUGCGUUAACACGUGGGAAUAUACCUUUUGGUUCGGAACAACGCAGGGAAACUUGCGCUAAUACCGAAUGUGCCCUUACGGGGAAAGAUUUAUCGCCAAAGGAUUAGCCCGCGUAGGAUUAGCUAGUUGGUGAGGUAAUGGCUCACCAAGGCUCCGAUCCUUAGCUGUUCUGAGAGGAAGAUCAGCCACACUGGGACUGAGACACGGCCCAGACUCCUACGGGAGGCAGCAGUUGGGAAUCUUGGACAAUGGGGGAAACCCUGAUCCAGCCAUGCCGCGUGAGUGAUGAAGGCCUUCGGGUUGUAAACUCUUUCGACGGGGACGAUAAUGACGGUACCCGUAGAAGAAGCUCCGGCUAACUUCGUGCCAGCAGCCGC
rnacentral:rRNA from 1 species